rnacentral:rRNA from 1 species
CGCGUAGGCGGUCUUAUCGGUCAGAUGUGAAAGCCCAGGGCUCAACCCUGGACGUGCAUUUGAAACAGUAAGACUUGAGUACGGGAGAGGAAAGCGGAAUUCCUGGUGUAGAGGUGAAAUUCGUAGAUAUCAGGAGGAACACCGAUGGCGAAGGCAGCUUUCUGGACCGAUACUGACGCUGAGGCGCGAAGGCGUGGGUAGCGAACAGGAUUAGAUACCCUGGUAGUCC